UUGCAUAUAUAUUUAUAUUUGAUUCGAAUUCUGCACAUUGCUUAUGUCAUGCGUGCGAAUAAUAUAGCAUUAGCUAGCGGUGGAUGCAUAUAUGGGUGGCGGCAAUCAUUACUUUACUCUAUAUAUAUAUAUAUAUAUAUAUAUAUCCAUCCAUCCAUCCAUCCAUAUCUCCGGUGUGGCGUCAGCCGUCAGCACACCGGAGACGAUAGAGACGACGACCGGCAUCGGCAUCAGCUGCACGCGCCGAUCGAGAACUUUAUUAUUCGAAUUCUAUAUUAUUCAAACAUGGCACGGGGCGGCGACGACGACCUGAGUCUUCCAAUAAUCACCAACAAGUUGGCAACUUAAUUUGCAGGUCGACGAUCUCGACGCAACGAUCCACGGAACUUAAUCGCGAUCGAUUUUUUCUAGUAGUAGCAGGUAGCAGGUAGCAGCCAUGCAUGCAUGACGGGAAGAGCGAUCGAUCGGCGGCGAUCGACGAGCGUCGUACGUACGUACCG
rnacentral:lncRNA from 1 species